rnacentral:rRNA from 1 species
UACGGAGGAGGCAAGCGUUAUCCGGAAUGAUUGGGCGUAAAGCGUCCGCAGGUGGCAAUGUAAGUCUGCUGUCAAAGCGUCUGGCUCAACCAGAUAAAGGCAGUGGAAACUACAUAGCUAGAGUAAGGUAGGGGUAGAGGGAAUUCCUGGUGUAGCGGUGAAAUGCGUAGAGAUCAGGAAGAACACCGGUGACGAAAGCGCUCUGCUGGACCUUAACUGACACUGAGGGACGAAAGCUAGGGGAGCGAAUGGG